rnacentral:ncRNA from 1 species
UAUGUUUGGUGUAUUGCCUGCAAGUAUUGCCUGUGUUUAUGUAUGUGUCAGGGAGGACAGAAACCUCCCGUGGAGCAGAAGGGCAAAAGCUCGCUUGAUCUUGAUUUUCAGUACGAAUACAGACCGUGAAAGCGGGGCCUCACGAUCCUUCUGACCUUUUGGGUUUUAAGCAGGAG